rnacentral:lncRNA from 1 species
UUCAUCAUUAGUAUCACAUAAUUACAACGAUCGUAAUCGAAACAAAAAAUGGAAAAAUAAAUAUAAAAAAUAAAAUUAUAAAUGAAGUGUCAAUAGCAAGAACUAAACUCUACAAAAUCAUGAAAAAAAUGACAAUUUAUUUGAAAGGAAAUGCCAAAAAAAAAGUAGAAAAAAUGGAAAAAUGUAAACAUGGAAGAAAGUUAGGCAGGUAGGGGUUGAACCCAGGUUAUGGGGUUGGG